GAACUAAUGGAUCAGUCAUGUGGCGUGGUUGAGUAAUAAGGGGGGUAACUAAAGGAUUAGUCAUGUUACAUGGUUAAGUGAGAAGGGGGGGUUAACAAAAGGAUCAGUCAUAGUGGCAUUGUUGAGUAAGAAAGGGGGGGUAACAAAGCAUCUAUCAUAGUGGCAUGGUUGAGUAAGAAAGGGGGGUAACAAAGCAUCUAUCAUAGUGGCAUAGUUGAGUAAGAAAGGGGGGUAACAAAGCAUCUAUCAUAGUGGCAUAGUUGAGUAAAAAAGGGGGGUAACAAAGCAUCUAUCAUAGUGGCAUGGUUGAGUAAGAAAGGGGGGUAACAAAGCAUCUAUCAUAGUGGCAUAGUUGAGUAAGAAAGGGGGUAACAAAGCAUCUAUCAUAGUGGCAUGGUUGAGUAAGAAAGGGGGGUAACAAAGCAUCUAUCAUAGUGGCAUAGUUGAGUAAGAAAGGGGGGGUAACAAAGCAUCUAUCAUAGUGGCAUAGUUGAGUAAGAAAGGGGGGUUAACUAAAGGAUCAGUCAUGUGGUAUAGUUGAGUAAGAAAGGCGGGUUAACAAAAGCAUGAGUAAUAAGGGGGUAACUAAAGGAUUAGUCAUGUGGCGCGGUUGAGUAAUAAGGGGGGUUAACUAAAGGAUCAGUCAUGUGCCAUGGUUGAGUAAGAAAGGGGGGUAACUAAAAGAUCAGUCAUGUGGCAUGGUUGAGUAAAGGGGGGUAACUAAAGGAAUAGUCAUAUGGCAUGGUUGAGUAAGUUGCUUGAUUAAUUACACAACAUUUUACAGAGUGCAACCGUCAUUUAUUAGUUGUUUCAUUGUACAUUUUAUAUGGUGAUAAAAAGAUAUUGACUAGUGUACAAAAUGUAUUUUAUAUGUUUGUUUUUCUGAAUACCAGAUAUUUUAGCCCUUGUUACUAGUUCAUUGAAAAUGAACUAUUAUUUAAAACUUAUUACAGCUAAAGCUGAAUUACAUAAUUUGUCUUUAAAUGAUGAAUAAAAAUGAUCACAAAA